UUAUGACCAGGAUUUAAUUUUUUGAUUUUCACAAACUCAGAAGAUGAUGAGGCUUCAUCAACCCGGGCUUCCACACCGCAGGGACAGCCACUAAGACGCUCACAGCGGAUUAGCCCGCAAGGGCAGCCUGUGUACAGAGGACAAGACGGACCUGCACCCAAAAAGAAAAGAAAUUCCAAAAGAAAAACUAGAGACGAGGAAAGU